rnacentral:rRNA from 1 species
AACUGAAGAGUUUGAUCAUGGCUCAGAUUGAACGCUGGCGGCAGGCCUAACACAUGCAAGUCGAGCGGUAGCACAGAAGAGCUUGCUCUUUGGGUGACGAGCGGCGGACGGGUGAGUAAUGUCUGGGAAACUGCCUGAUGGAGGGGGAUAACUACUGGAAACGGUAGCUAAUACCGCAUAACGUCGCAAGACCAAAGUGGGGGACCUUCGGGCCUCAUGCCAUCAGAUGUGCCCAGAUGGGAUUAGCUAGUAGGUGAGGUAAUGGCUCACCUAGGCGACGAUCCCUAGCUGGUCUGAGAGGAUGACCAGCCACACUG